rnacentral:rRNA from 1 species
UACGUAGGGGGCGAGCGUUGUCCGGAUUUAUUGGGCGUAAAGGGCUCGUAGGCGGUUGGUCACGUCGGGAGUGAAAACUCAGGGCUCAACCCUGAGCGUGCUUCCGAUACGGGCCGACUAGAGGUAUGCAGGGGAGAACGAAUUCCUGGUGUAGCGGUGGAAUGCGCAGAUAUCAGGAGGAACACCGGUGGCGAAGGCGGGUCUCUGGGCAGUAACUGACGCUGAGGAGCGAAAGCGUGGGGAGCGAACAGG